rnacentral:lncRNA from 1 species
UAAUAAACACAGAAGCGCUUCGGUGUUUGACGCGUUGCUCUGCGAUUGAGCUGUUUGGGAAUUGCUGUGGAUAAUAAAUUGCUGGCUGUGGAGGCAGGGAUUGCUGGCAUGUCUCACAUCCAGCGCUCAGACAAUGUAGCAGCGUGUGCUGACAGCGGAGCGCGUCCCUGCUACACCUGCCCUGGAGUGCCACUUGGACAAGAGACUGGUUUGUCUCCUGCCUACACCCACACUGAAAUUGAAAUAAGAUGCCUAAUGGGAGUUCUGUUGCCUCUUGAGUCUUUUAGCAGCUCUCCAGCAUUUAAGAAGCAGCACGCCCUCAGGUGCUGGGGCUCCCACCACCUUCCUGUUCUGUGAUGCAACACAUCUGCUGGGACCUUGGAAAAACAGGGAAAUGAUUACAAUACUGCCAUAGUCUGCUCCAGAGAGUGAGGUAUGCUAUUGGUUUAUGUGGGGGGAGUUAAAAGGCCAUGGCAUAAUGCCCAUAAUUUUUUAGUCAUUUAAUUU